rnacentral:rRNA from 1 species
GACGAACGCUGGCGGCGUGCCUAAUACAUGCAAGUAGAACGCUGAAGGAGGAGCUUGCUUCUCUGGAUGAGUUGCGAACGGGUGAGUAACGCGUAGGUAACCUGCCUGGUAGCGGGGGAUAACUAUUGGAAACGAUAGCUAAUACCGCAUAAGAGUAGAUAUUGCAUGAUAACUGCUUAAAAGGUGCAAUUGCAUCACUACCAGAUGGACCUGCGUUGUAUUAGCUAGUUGGUGAGGUAACGGCUCACCAAGGCAACGAUACAUAGCCGACCUGAGAGGGUGAUCGGCCACACUGGGACUGAGACACGGCCCAGACUCCUACGGGAGGCAGCAGUAGGGAAUCUUCGGCAAUGGACGGAAGUCUGACCGAGCAACGCCGCGUGAGUGAAGAAGGUUUUCGGAUCGUAAAGCUCUGUUGUAAGAGAAGAACGAGUGUGAGAGUGGAAAGUUCACACUGUGACGGUAUCUUAC